GAUGAAGAACGUAGUGAAAUGCGAUACGUAAUGUGAAUUGCAGAAUUCAGUGAAUCAUCGAGUCUUUGAACGCACAUUGCGCCCCCUGGUAUUCCGGGGGGCAUGCCUGUCCGAGCGUCAUUGCUGCCCUCUAGCACGGCUUGUGUGUUGGGCCUCCGUCCUCCUCCCGGGGGACGGGCCCGAAAGGCAGCGGCGGCACCGCGUCCGGUCCUCGAGCGUAUGGGGCUUCGUCACCCGCUCUUGUAGGCCCGGCCGGCGCUUGCCGACACAUCAAUCUUUUUUCCAGGUUGACCUCGGAUCAGGUAGGGAUACCCGCUGAACUUAAGCAUAUCAAUAAGCGGAGGA
rnacentral:misc_RNA from 1 species